AAAGAAAAGAAAAUUUUAAAAAGGGGAAAUUCAGCUUUCACCAGACAUAAGAUUAUAUUUUGUUACAAAUACUUACACCUGUUUUUCUACAGAUGAUGCAAUUCUUAUUGAAAAUGCACCACAGACGGAAACUAAAGAUGACGAUUUUGAAGCACUUGUUGAAGAAUACGUGUCUUGCAUUAUAGACAAGGCUGCAGACUCUUUAAGACAGACGUCGCCGAGCAACACAAAUUUUGAGAAAUCAGCCGACGACGGCGUGUCCUUAUCGUCAAGUAUCAUAAGCCAAAUUGCUGACAUAGCUGUGACCGAGAGUUUGUCAAAUGUAGUGUUAGAAGCCGAUGUCAACCACUCUGCCAUUCAUAAUGCUAGACCUAAAACUAUCAAAGAAUUUAUGGAGGCCUUCGAUAUUGCUGGAGAUGAGGUUACAGAUGAUGGUCUAUCAACUGUUAGUUUGUAAG